rnacentral:rRNA from 1 species
GACGAACGCUGGCGGCGUGCUUAACACAUGCAAGUCGAACGGAAAGGCCCUGCUUUUGUGGGGUGCUCGAGUGGCGAACGGGUGAGUAACACGUGAGUAACCUGCCCUUGACUUUGGGAUAACUUCAGGAAACUGGGGCUAAUACCGGAUAGGAGCUCCUGCUACAUGGUGGGGGUUGGAAAGUUUCGGCGGUUGGGGAUGGACUCGCGGCUUAUCAGCUUGUUGGUGGGGUAGUGGCUUACCAAGGCUUUGACGGGUAGCCGGCCUGAGAGGGUGACCGGCCACAUUGGGACUGAGAUACGGCCCAGACUCCUACGGGAGGCAGCAGUGGGGAAUAUUGCACAAUGGGCGGAAGCCUGAUGCAGCAACGCCGCGUGCGGGAUGACGGCCUUCGGGUUGUAAACCGCUUUCGCCUGUGACGAAGCGUGAGUGACGGUAAUGGGUAAAGAAGCACCGGCUAACUACGUA